GACUCGAUCUGGCUACUUCCAGCUUACAAGGGACGUCAUGGUGGAGGGGGUGGUUUAAGGCUGGUUGACAGCCAGAGGAGGCUCAGUCAGGAGGGGUUCCUGCUCAUCUGUGGCAUGGGCUUCACUGGUAGAGUGCUGUGCCACCGGUUCUUCUGGGGUUAGAGUGGAUUGGAGGACUACAUGUACAUCGUGCCAGGGUCCCUGAUGGAAGCCUCUUGGGAUGUGGGCCAGGGCUCACUCGUGACCAGCCGUCUCAGCAGGAAGGAGCAAGGACCUGCCUGGGAACUUCGGAGCUACUGGCUGCAUGAAGCCAAGCAUGUGAUGGCCACACAGCCCAUCUGCACCACAGUUGGGGGCUGCAGAGACACUCCCCACACCUCCACCCAAAUGCCCCAGCACCCCUGUGAGCAGCAGCCCCUUUCUCUGGCCAUGUGCACCCUGGCCACUACCCCCAGGAGUCGUUGGGGGCCCUGGCCAGUCCUAAACCACAUGUGACAUGGCUAACCAAGCCCAGUGCAUGGACACCCUGCCCCCGUCCCCCACAGAGACAGGGGAGGAGGUGACUGGUGCUCCAUCUGGGAGAAUAAGAGGAGUGGUGGGGGCAGGAGUGGGAGGCCGCCCCUCAGGCAGGGGACUCAGACUGUCCUGCCCGCAUUUCAAUCUCUCUGUAAGCUUUCCUACAUGAAGUUAGUAGAUUCUGACCUCUUAAAAUCUGUAUUUAGAGGAAAACAAUAAAUCUAAAGUUGCAGGACUCGGAUAUCUACUGUGUGUGCCACGGACAUGCCAGAAAUCAGGUGCUCAAGGGCUGCCUGUGACCCAGUGCCCCAGGCCUAAGGUUCAUGGAGUGAAAAUAAGUCCCAUAUGAACACUGCCCGUGACAAACACAGAACUGGAAACAACCUAAAUUUCCAAUUACUGAGCACUUCUAUAAAUUAUGUCAGCUCAUUUAAAUUGGGAAUCAAAAAUAACAUAAGAAUAUGGUGACAUUUGUGCAAUGAUGUAAAGUGAGGGAAAACAGAUCAACUGUUGUUUUUGAUCAACUGGAUACAAUACACACUGAUUACAACGUGAAAAAUGGGUGUGCAUGUUGACAGACAGUAGGACAAAACCAGAAAAACACAAAUAGGGGAAAUCAAUUGGUACACUGGGCAGCAGGAUGAUGUGUGAAAUCUUUUCCAUUUUAAAUUUCCUUUAGUAGCUUAGCAAGGUUUGAAUAAUGAUACUUUAACAAUAUUUGUAUCUCCUCAACUGAAACUUGCAUUAAAGGAGAAGCAGCUAGGCUGGAGGACAGGAGGAUGGUAUCUGGCUGCUCAUUCUACUGGGCAGGCAGGAAAAUACCAAUUGAUCAGAAAGAGUAAAGCAUAGCCCCUGCCUGGACCUCAAGUUUACCCUUCUGUACUCUGUAGACAGAGGGUGGCCAAGCUUCCAACGGUGGGACAGCUGGGGCUGGGGCUGGUGUCAGCCACAUGGAGUCUGAGAUGGGGAAGGAUGGCCAGCUACAGCCACCCACAUACAAAGCCAGUGAGGGAACUAAUGGUGACAGAAAAGCCAGGGCUGGUGCCAAGGCGAUGGCCCACUGCACAGCAGGAAGAGCUCCGACAGCCCAUCAAUGAUCAAGGGCAAGAUGUGAGAGCCACUGGGACCCUCAGGGCAUGGCAGUGGGAGGUGACAGGGCAGGAGCGCAUGGUACAGGGACAGCAGGAACUGAGGGAGUGAAAACCCAGGGUGCCAGAAGCCAGGAAGGGCCCACGAACUGUCAGGAUGGUGCCCCACGGGAGGGGCGGCAGAGCAAGUGGCUGCAGGCAGCAUCACCAUGGCUGGGCUCACCGCAGACUAAUCAAAUUGGAGCGUGCCAGCUCCUCAUGCCAUCAGGGCUGAAAGCUCAGUCUGCCAGAGCUCAUCCUGCACCGCCCAGAAUAUAUUGGUGAGUAACACUUCAGGCUGUGGGCAAGAAUGCCCUGAAGAGAGAAAGACAAGCCGCACACAGAGAGGAUGCCACCGCCAACCAACUGCACCAGGAAGACACACAGCUCCCAGCCCCAAAGGAGUACAGACAAAAGUCACAUGAGGCCUCUCACCCACAGUGCAACAUGGACAACCCAGAGCAUGCAGAGAUGCUGGCCUCCCCAUCCAUCAGGGAAACAUGAACCAUGGCAGUGAAGGGGAAGUGCUUUUUUCAUCCAUUCCAUGUCAAAAAUUCAGAAUCCACUGAUACCAAGGGCUGGAGAGGGUGUGGCCCAGAGGCCUCUCAAAUGUGGCUGAGGCAGCAAAGCCAGAAAUGACCUUGGAAAACUGGCUUCUCCUUACACACGGGACCUUCACAGCACAGCUCAGGAAACCAUUCCUGCGUGUACACCUAAGACAAAGCCCCAGACAUCUACCCCAGAAAACAAGUUACAAAAAACCCCUAGCAUGUUUGCAACAGCAGCCACGACCCUUAUACACAUGGGCAGAAAGUGGAAUGGAGGUGGCAUUUUUCCAUGGUGGAAUAUUAUACAGCACUGAACACAAAUUAACUCCAGCUAAACAAACAAACAAACAAAUCUGUGAAACUUCAUAACAUAAUGUGGAGUGAAAAAAAUCCAGGAGACUGCUUAUGAGAUGGCUAAUUUUAUGCAUGAGCUUGGCCAGGCCAUGGUACAUAUGUGGUCAAACAGCAGGCUACUGUCAUUGUGAAGGCAUUGUUUAGAUGAGAUUAACACUUAAAUCAGUGGACUGUCAGUAAAGCACAUUACCCUCUAUAGUGUGGGUGGGCCUUGUCCAAUCAGCUGGAU